rnacentral:tRNA from 1 species
GGGGAUGUAGCUCAGUUGGUAGAGUGCUUGCCUUGCAUGCACAAGGCCCUGGGUUCAAUCCUCAGCACCA